rnacentral:rRNA from 1 species
UACGAAGGGGGCUAGCGUUGUUCGGAAUUACUGGGCGUAAAGCGUGCGCAGGCGGCUAUCCAAGUCAGUGGUGAAAGCCCGGAGCUCAACUCCGGAAUUGCCAUUGAAACUGUUUAGCUCGAGUACGAGAGAGGUGAGUGGAAUUCCCAGUGUAGAGGUGAAAUUCGUAGAUAUCGAGAGGAACACCGGUGGCGAAGGCGGCGAUCUGGACGAUGACUGACGCUGAGACGCGAAAGCAUGGGGAGCAAACAGG